rnacentral:rRNA from 1 species
CUACGGGGUGCAGCAGUGGGGAAUAUUGGACAAUGGGGGAAACCCUGAUCCAGCAAUGCCGCGUGUGUGAAGAAGGCCUGCGGGUUGUAAAGCACUUUCGGUUGGGAGGACUGCUUCUAGCACUAAUAUUGUUGGAAGUUGACGUUACCUUCAGAAGAAGCACCGGCUAACUCCGUGCCAGCAGCCGCGGUAGAUACGGAGGGUGCAAGCGUUAAUCGGAAUUACUGGGCGUAAAGCGCGCGUAGGCGGCUAGAUCAGUCGGGUGUGAAAGCCCCGGGCUUAACCUGGGAACUGCAUCCGAUACUGUCUAGCUUGAGUACAGGAGAGGAGAGUGGAAUUCCACAUGUAGCGGUGAAAUGCGUAGAUAUGUGGAGGAACACCAAUGGCGAAGGCAGCUCUCUGGCCUGAUACUGACGCUGAGGUGCGAAAGCGUGGGGAGCAAACAGGAUUAGAUACCCCUCUAGUC